UWYGGGAUCUGCUGAGAGGCGGGAGUGCCCGAAAGGGAGCCGUAACACAGGUGCUGCAUGGCUGUCGUCAGCUCSUGUCGUGAGAUGUUGGGUUAAGUCCCGCAACGAGCGCAACCCUUGUCCCUAGUUGCUACGCAAGAGCACUCCAGGGAGACUGCCGGUGACAAACCGGAGGAAGGUGGGGAUGACGUCAAGUCCUCAUGGCCCUUAUGGGUAGGGCUUCACACGUCAUACAAUGGUCGGAACAGAGGGUUGCCAAGCCGCGAGGUGGAGCCAAUCCCAGAAAACCGAUCGUAGUCCGGAUCGCAGUCUGCAACUCGACUGCGUGAAGCUGGAAUCGCUAGUAAUCGCGGAUCAGCAUGCCGCGGUGAAUACGUUCCCGGGUCUKGUWACACACCGAA
rnacentral:rRNA from 1 species